rnacentral:rRNA from 1 species
AGACCCGAAACCAAGUGAUCUAGCCAUGGCCAGGUUGAAGGUGCGGUAACACGCUGCGAAAAGCCACGGGGAGUUGCGAGCAAACUUUGAUCCGUGGGUAUCUGAAUGGGGCAACCCCCCUCGCAUGAGGGAUCAUGCACUGAAUACAUAGGUGCAUGAGGCGAACCCGGAGAACUGAAACAUCUAAGUAUCCGGAGGAAAAGACAUCAACCGAGAUUCUGCUANNANNGUGGCGAGCGACACGCGGAGCAGGCCAGCGGCUUUGAAAAGGUAAGUAGAAUGGCAUUGAAAGGCCAGUCAGAGAGGGUGAUAACCCCGUAUACGUAAUAUUUUUGAAGUCCUUGAGUAGGGCGGGACACGUGAAAUCCUGUCUGAACAUGGGGGGACCACCCUCCAAGCCUAAAUACUCCUNNGUGACCGAUAGCGAACAAGUACCGUGAGGGAAAGGUGAAAAGCACCCCGACAAGGGGAGUGAAAGAGACCUGAAACCAAAUGCUUACAAACAGCUGGAGCCUCUUAUGGGGUGACAGCGUACCUUUUGUAUAAUGGGUCAGCGAGUUUCUGUUGGCAGCAAGCUUAAGCCGAUAGGUGUAGGCGCAGCGAAAGCGAGUCUGAACAGGGCGUCAGUUGCUGGCAGAAGACCCGAAACCAAGUGAUCUAGCCAUGGCCAGGUUGAAGGUGCGGUAACACGCACUGGAGGACCGAACCCACGCCUGUUGAAAAAGUCGGGGAUGAGCUGUGGCUAGGGGUGAAAGGCCAAUCAAACUUGGAAAUAGCUGGUUCUCCGCGAAAUCUAUUGAGGUAGAGCGUUAUGUAUUACCUUGGGGGGUAGAGCACUGGAUGGGCUCGGGGGUCCCAAAGACCUACCAAACCUAACCAAACUCCGAAUACCCAAGAGUAUGAGCAUAGCAGACAGACAGUGGGUGCUAAGGUCCAUUGUCGAGAGGGAAACAGCCCAGACCACCAGCUAAGGCCCCCAAAUGAUAACUAAGUGGGAAAGGAUGUGGGGAUUCCAAAACAACCAGGAGGUUGGCUUAGAAGCAGCCAUCCUUUAAAGAAAGCGUAAUAGCUCACUGGUCUAAACAAGAAACCCUGCGCCGAAGAUGUAACGGGGCUCAAGUUAUCUGCCGAAGCUGUGGAUGUAUAUCACAUGAUAUAUGUGGUAGCGGAGCGUUCUGUAGGUCUGUGAAGGAGACGGGGCGACCCUCUCUGGAGAUAUCAGAAGUGCGAAUGCUGACAUGAGUAGCGACAAACAGUGCGAGAAACACUGUCGCCGAAAGUCCAAGGGUUCCUGCGNNGAGGUCGCUAGAUNNACGCAGGGUUAGUCGGCCCCUAAGGCGAGGGCGAAAGCCGUAGUCGAUGGAAAUCAGGUUAAUAUUCCUGAACCUGCUAGAAGUGACGAAUAUGAUAUGUUGUCAGGUCUUAUUGGAUUGGCCUGGCUUUUGGAGUAUUCCGGGAAAUAGCUCUAGCGAAUAGACCGUACCCGAAACCGACACAGGUNGACUGGUAGAGAAUACCAAGGCGCUUGAGAGAACGAUGCUGAAGGAACUAGGCAAAAUGCUUGCGUAACUUCGGAAGAAGCAAGACCGGAUUUUGGGCAACCAUGAUCAGGUGGCACAGAGCAGGGGGUAGCGACUGUUUAGUAAAAACACAGGGCUCUGCAAAGUCGAAAGACGACGUAUAGGGUCUGACGCCUGCCCGGUGCCGGNAGGNUAAGNGGAGGUNUGCUAGAUGNNCUGAAUUGAAGCCCCGGUAAACGGCGGCCGUAACUAUAACGGUCCUAAGGUAGCGAAAUUCCUUGUCGGGUAAGUUCCGACCUGCACGAAUGGCGUAACGA